rnacentral:lncRNA from 1 species
CCUUGACAUUAUAUAGAUUUGCUAUGUGAUGAGAGAUAUUGUAGGAGUAUGCGAUGUGUCUGUGGUAACCUGUUUUCUAUAAUAUAAUCCAGCUGGACACGGUUGUGUGUGUGAUGAGAGCUGCUUGUGAGGCCAUUAAGCCUCCAGGUGUCCUUGAUUACUGCUCGUCCCUUCCUGACGAUUGGAGGUAUCCUCAGUCAGCUGCCGAGCUCCCCUCCUGGCAGAACCUGGAGGAGCCGUUGAGGCGUGAUCAAGACAGACCUAAAUUCAGCUCCAGCUCUGCCCUUAACAAGACGGGAGACUUUAACGUUUUAGACCUUAACAGGGGUAAGUCACUUAAGUUUUAAGU